CGGAGCUAACGCGUUAAGUCGACCGCCUGGGGAGUACGGCCGCAAGGUUAAAACUCAAAUGAAUUGACGGGGGCCCGCACAAGCGGUGGAGCAUGUGGUUUAAUUCGAUGCAACGCGAAGAACCUUACCUACUCUUGACAUCCAGCGAACUUUCCAGAGAUGGCUUGGUGCCUUCGGGAACGCUGAGACAGGUGCUGCAUGGCUGUCGUCAGCUCGUGUUGUGAAAUGUUGGGUUAAGUCCCGCAACGAGCGCAACCCUUAUCCUUUGUUGCCAGCGAUUCGGUCGGGAACUCAAAGGAGACUGCCGGUGAUAAACCGGAGGAAGGUGGGGAUGACGUCAAGUCAUCAUGGCCCUUACGAGUAGGGCUACACACGUGCUACAAUGGCGCAUACAAAGAGAAGCGACCUCGCGAGAGCAAGCGGACCUCAUAAAGUGCGUCGUAGUCCGGAUCGGAGUCUGCAACUCGACUCCGUGAAGUCGGAAUCGCUAGUAAUCGUGGAUCAGAAUGCCACGGUGAAUACGUUCCCGGGCCUUGUACACACCGCCCGUCACACCAUGGGAGUGGGUUGCAAAAGAAGUAGGUAGCUUAACCUCCGGGAGGGC
rnacentral:rRNA from 1 species